ensembl:misc_RNA RN7SL430P RNA, 7SL, cytoplasmic 430, pseudogene
CUUGUGCCUGGUCUUGGUGGCACUUGCCUCAAGGAUUGCUUGAGUCUGGGCAUUCUGGGCUGUAGUGUACUAAGCCGAUCUGGUAUCCACACUAAGUUUGGCAUCAGUAUGGUCCAGGCUGCAUAAGGAGGGGUGAACCGGCCCAGACCAGAACCAGAGCAGGUCAGAACUCCUGUGCUGAUCAGUAGUGGGAUCGUGCCUGUGAAUAGGCACUGCAUUUCAGCCCAGGCAACAUAUCAAGA